CAGCAACAAGGUGUGGUUGGGUGGCUUUAUGUAUCAUCCUGGAGGUUUUGAGCUGUUGUUGGGUCAGCAACACAACCUUUUCCAAGUGUCCCACCUGUUCAUGGACCCAGAAAACCUCAAAUGGGCCACUAGACUCCUGGCCACUGAAUAUCAUUUUCCUACCUGGUAUGCAUGGUCUCAGAUAGUGACCUUGCACAAGGUCUGUCUGGACCUCCUUGGAUACCUGGAUACCUCCUGAUAAUGGAACAGGGAACAGAAGAAGCGCUCAUCUAUUUACCUGCUGUGUGAAGCACUGAAGGACCCACAAUGCAAAGUGAAAAAAAUAUGGUUGCAGGAAUGCCAUCUCACAGAUACCUGCGGUGGGGAUCUCGCAGAUACUCUCAGCACCAGUCUCAACCUGGCAGAGCUGGACUUGACUGGUAACAGUGGUCUGGGGGCUGGCGGCGUGCAGCUGCUGUGCGAGGGACUGAGACAUCCCAGCUGCAAGUUACAGACAC